UACGGGGGGAGCAAGCGUUGUUCGGAUUUACUGGGCGUAAAGGGCGCGUAGGCGGCCGUGUAAGUCACCUGUGAAAUCCCGGGGCUCAACUCCGGGGCUGCAGGUGAGACUGCGUGGCUAGAGCACGGUAGAGGCGAGUGGAAUUCCCGGUGUAGCGGUGGAAUGCGUAGAUAUCGGGAAGAACACCGGUGGCGAAGGCGGCUCGCUGGGCCGUUGCUGACGCUGAGGCGCGAAAGCGUGGGGAGCAAACAGG
rnacentral:rRNA from 1 species